rnacentral:rRNA from 1 species
UCAGACGAUGCGUCAUGCAUAUCAAUAAGCGGAGGAAAAGAAACUAACAAGGAUUCCCCUAGUAACGGCGAGUGAAGCGGGGAAGAGCUCAAAUUUGAAAUCUUAAAGGGUUUCCCUUUACGAAUUGUAGUUUAAAGAAGUGUUUUCUGUUGAGGUUUUGGUAAAAGUUCUUUGGAAUAGGACAUCAUAGAGGGUGAGAAUCCCGUAUUUGACCUUUACUUUCAACUUUGUGAUACACUUUCAAAGAGUCGGAUUGUUUGGGAAUGCAGUCCAAAAUGGGUGGUAAAUUUCAUCUAAAGCUAAAUAUUGGCGAGAGACCGAUAGCGAACAAGUACCGUGAGGGAAAGAUGAAAAGAACUUUGAAAAGAGAGUUAAACAGUACGUGAAAUUGUCAAAAGGGAAGCGUUUGACACCAGUGUUGUUUUUCUGAAAAUCAAUUAAAGAACUGUUUAUGCUAAGUUGUUUAGACUUUAUCAGCUAACUGUUUAGUUUUGAGCUUUUCUUUAAUGCACUUUUCAGUUAACAAGUCGACAUCAAUUUCUUUUGCUGUAAAAAAGCUUGAGGAAGGUGGCUUGAGAUUCGUCUUAAGUGUUUAUAGCCUCUUGCCUAUGCAGUCGGAGAGAUUGAGGUCUGCAGCGUAGAUCCUUCGGGGCUAAAUGCAUUUGUGCUAAGUUAUAGCAUUUUAUAGACAACUUGUUGACUAUGAUUUGUCUUGUAGCUUACUCGCUUAUGUUAUUUUACCUACGCUUAGGAUGUUGAGCGCAUGUCUCUCUCU